GAUUACGAAACAGACAAAUAAAAUGAAACAAUUUUAAUAAAGGACCGAAUUAUCUCAAAGAACGUGAACGAAUUCGGUUUUUUUAGACAACGUAUUCCAAACACUGUUAUAAUAUAAUCGGCCACGAUAAGGUUUUCAGAGCGAUAAAAUAUUUGGGUGUGGAAGUUACACAAUAUUAUGCCGUCUGCCUGCGUGCGGCUGCUGCUAUCGAUUGAUAUUUUGCGAAUCCGUCGAAAGUCAAACAUCGUUUUCUUUCGGCCAGAAGAGAUACAAUAUAAUUUAUAGUCACUUUAUAGUCUGUUACUGUACGUAUAUAACAAUAGAUGCAGCAGCACUACACGUCUUUAUAUCGUGUCCGGUUAUUAUUGUAUGUGUAUAGUCUUCGAAGCCUCUGGCUGACACAUAAUUAUUAUUAUUUAACCCGAAAUAUCUCGGGGGGCGUACACCAACUACAUGUAUAUAUAUAUGCUGUAUUAUAUGUUUUAUAACAUGUGUACCGCUGUAACAAUAGUAAUAAUAAUGUCGCACGGAAUACGGGACGUUUGUUUGUAUUGUUAUUAAUAAUUUUUUUUUAUUUUUUCACACUUUUUUUUAACGUUUCGGUAUACUCGCGGCCUGCUUCUUCCCGGUGAAACGCGUGAUUGGCAGAGGAGAACAUCAUAAUAUCAUGGUUAUGGUUAUACCGGCGACGGAGGUGACGGCGGUUACUGGUUGAUACCGGUUAAUGGUUACAUACUUACAUUGUAUAUAUUAUAUAUAUGUAUAUAUUAUUUCGUGUUUAUACAGUUUAGUUGUUGCUGCUGUAGACAUGAUAAUGCCGAUUGCAGCUAAUCGAUCGACCAAAACGCGGUUAAACGGUUUAACUUUCUCGGAGAGCAGUCGAAAACAUCAGUGACGGCGGUGUACACAGAUCGACGGCCGAUUUCCCGCGCGUCACCAUCCGAAUGCAAAUCCGAAUUGGAUCUAAAACAAAUUUACUCUAAUGCCAAAACUUUUCGGCAUUAUAUUAUAGACCUGAAACCGUCGAAUGUUUUACACACCACUCACGUGUGUUUCUUCUAUGGCUAUGCGAACCGGUUGUGCGUGUACAGAAAUGAAAAACAUUUUAUGAAAUACUACUGCACGGUGUUUAUAAUGUUACCGAUUCGCAAUUUGAAUGCUAAUUGACAAUGGUAUUGGGAAAAGAAAAAAAUCAAUAACAAACGCCGCACGUGAAAAUCGUCGAUAUAGAAAUAAUUCUAGGUGGUUCCAAGUCCGACGAUAAUAAUGUAAUUCACACUUAUAUUAUACUGUUGUAUACCAGUAAAAUGCGUGUACAGUUUUUUCCUUUGUUUAAAUAGUUUUCGUGAGAACUCGUGUGUAAAUAUAUACGUAUAUAAUGAAUAAUAUAAUAUACCUGUACGCGUG